ACUGAACGCUGGCGGCAGGCUUAACACAUGCAAGUCGAGCGGGGGAAGGUAGCUUGCUACCGGACCUAGCGGCGGACGGGUGAGUAAUGCUUAGGAAUCUGCCUAUUAGUGGGGGACAACAUCUCGACAGGGAUGCUAAUACCGCAUACGUCCUACGGGAGAAAGCAGGGGAUCUUAGGUCCUUGCGCUAAUAGAUGAGCCUAAGUCGGAUUAGCUAGUUGGUGGGGUAAAUGCCUACCAAGGCGACGAUCUGUAGCGGGUCUGAGAGGAUGACCCGCCACACCGGGACUGAGACACCGCCCAGACUCCUGAAGGAGGCAGCAGGGGGGAAUACUGGACGAAUGGGGGAACGCUGAACCAGGCAUGCCGCGUGUGGUGAUGAAGCCUUAUGGAUGUAAAGAACUUUAAACGAGGAGGAGGCUACUUUAGUUAAUACUUAGAGAAAGUGGACGUUACUCGCAGAAUAAGCACCGGCUAACUCUGUG
rnacentral:rRNA from 1 species